CCGACCUUAGCUCAGUUGGUAGAGCGGAGGACUGUAGAUCCUUAGGUCACUGGUUCGAAUCCGGUAGGUUGGA